AGCUAUAUAGUCAAUAAUGAUAUUGAAUUGCAAAUUCAAGGGAGAAUAAAUUCUGUAGUUU
rnacentral:tRNA from 1 species